rnacentral:rRNA from 1 species
UGGGGAUUAUUGCACAAUGGGCGAAAGCCUGAUGCAGCGACGCCGCGUGAGGGAUGACGGCCUUCGGGUUGUAAACCUCUUUCAGUAGGGACGAAGUGCAAGUGAUGGUACCUGCAGAAUAAGCACCGGCUAACUACGUGCCAGCAGCCGCGGUAAUACGUAGGGUGCGAGCGUUGUCCGGAAUUACUGGGCGUAAAGAGCUCGUAGGCGGUUUGUCACGUCGUCUGUGAAAUCCUAGGGCUUAACCCUGGACGUGCAGGCGAUACGGGCUGACUUGAGUACUACAGGGGAGACUGGAAUUUCUGGUGUAGCGGUGGAAUGCACAGAUGUCAGGAAGAACACCGAUGGCGAAGGCAGGUCUCUGGGUAGUAACUGACGCUGAGGAGCGAAAGCAUGGGUAGCGAACAGG